GACAGAGGGGGCAAGCGUUGCUCGGAAUUACUGGGCGUAAAGGGCGCGUAGGCGGGAUGGCAAGUCGGUCGUGAAAUCCUUCGGCUCAACCGAAGAACGUCGAUCGAUACUGCUGUUCUUGAGGGUUGCAGAGGAGACUGGAAUUCCCGGUGUAGCGGUGAAAUGUGUAGAGAUCGGGAGGAAGACCAGUGGCGAAGGCGGGUCUCUGGACAGUUCCUGACGCUGAGGCACGAAGGCCAGGGGAGCAAACGGG
rnacentral:rRNA from 1 species